AGCAGUAUAGUGUAACGCUGCACGUGGGGUUUUCUUGCAACGGCACCACAAAUCCUAUCCCUGAGGUCCUUGUUCGAGUCAAGGUACUGCUC